AUUGAACGCUGGCGGCAUGCCUUACACAUGCAAGUCGAACGGUAACGGGCCUUCGGGUGCCGACGAGUGGCGAACGGGUGAGUAAUACAUCGGAACGUUCCCGAUCGUGGGGGAUAACGAGGCGAAAGCUUUGCUAAUACCGCAUACGAUCUACGGAUGAAAGCUGGGGACCGCAAGGCCUUGCGCGGACGGAGCGGCCGAUGGCAGAUUAGGUAGUUGGGGGGAUAAAAGUUUACCAAGCCGACGAUCUGUAGCUGGUCUGAGAGGAUGAUCAGCCACACUGGGACUGAGACACGGCCCAGACUCCUACGGGAGGCAGCAGUGGGGAAUUUUGGACAAUGGGCGCAAGCCUGAUCCAGCCAUGCCGCGUGCAGGAUGAAGGCCUUCGGGUUGUAAACUGCUUUUGUACGGAACGAAAAGCCUUCUUUUAAUACAGGAGGGUCAUGACGGUACCGGAAGAAUAAGCACCGGCUAACUACGUG
rnacentral:rRNA from 1 species